UCAACGAAUCAGCUCAAAUGUCACAUGUCUAUUGUACUUCAUCAGGUGCUCUGGUUGUUUUCGAUACCCGGCACAUGUUGGAGUACACUUAAUGUGCUGACAGUAUAACCAUCAGAAUUUA
rnacentral:pre_miRNA from 11 species